AGCAGCCGCGGUAAUUCCAGCUCCAAUAGCGUAUAUUAAAGUUGUUGCAGUUAAAAAGCUCGUAGUUGAAUUUCGGGAUCAAUACGUCGGUCGUGCUUCGGUACGUACUAACGUUAUUGGUUUCUCCUUUCUAACAAAUCGUGAUGUCAUUAAUUUGGUGUUACGGGGAGUUGGGACUGUUACUUUGAAAAAAUUAGAGUGUUUAAAGCAGGCUAA
rnacentral:rRNA from 1 species